UUGGUUAAGUUAGAAAGGGCGCACGGUGGAUGCCUUGGCACUAGGAGCCGAAGAAGGACGGGACUAACACCGAUAUGCUUUGGGGAGCUGUACGUAAGCGUUGAUCCAGAGAUUUCCGAAUGGGGGAACCCACUAUCUUUAGUCGGAUAGUAUCCUUACGUGAAUACAUAGCGUGAGGAAGGCAGACCCAGGGAACUGAAACAUCUAAGUACCUGGAGGAAGAGAAAGAAAAAUCGAUUUCCUGAGUAGCGGCGAGCGAAACGGAAAGAGCCCAAACCAAGAAGCUUGCUUCUUGGGGUUGUAGGACACUCUAUACGGAGUUACAAAAGAAAGUUAUAAAUGAAGCGGUCUGGAAAGGCCCGCCAAAGACGGUAACAGCCCGGUAGUUGAAAUGGCUUUCCCUCCAGAGUGGAUCCUGAGUACGGCGGAACACGUGAAAUUCCGUCGGAAUCCGGGAGGACCAUCUCCCAAGGCUAAAUACUCCCUAGUGACCGAUAGUGAACCAGUACCGUGAGGGAAAGGUGAAAAGCACCCCGGAAGGGGAGUGAAACAGUUCCUGAAACCGUGUGCCUACAAGUAGUUAGAGCCCGUUAAUGGGUGAUAGCGUGCCUUUUGUAGAAUGAACCGGCGAGUUACGAUUUGUUGCAAGGUUAAGCGGAAAAAGCGGAGCCGUAGCGAAAGCGAGUCUGAAUAGGGCGCAUAAGUAACAGGUCGUAGACCCGAAACCAGGUGAUCUACCCAUGUCCAGGAUGAAGGUAAGGUAAUACUUACUGGAGGUCCGAACCCACGCACGUUGAAAAGUGCGGGGAUGAGGUGUGGGUAGCGGAGAAAUUCCAAUCGAACUUGGAGAUAGCUGGUUCUCUCCGAAAUAGCUUUAGGGCUAGCCUCGAGGUAAAGAGUCAUGGAGGUAGAGCACUGUUUGGACUAGGGGCCCUUCUCGGGUUACCGAAUUCAGAUAAACUCCGAAUGCCAUGUACUUAUACUCGGGAGUCAGACUGCGAGUGAUAAGAUCCGUAGUCGAAAGGGAAACAGCCCAGACCACCAGUUAAGGUCCCCAAAUAUAUGUUAAGUGGAAAAGGAUGUGGGGUUGCUUAGACAACCAGGAUGUUGGCUUAGAAGCAGCCACCAUUGAAAGAGUGCGUAAUAGCUCACUGGUCGAGUGACCCCGCGCCGAAAAUGUACCGGGGCUAAACAUAUUACCGAAACUGUGGAUGAACCUCUUUAGAGGUUCGUGGUAGGAGAGCGUUCUAAGGGCGGUGAAGUCAGACCGGAAGGACUGGUGGAGCGCUUAGAAGUGAGAAUGCCGGUAUGAGUAGCGAAAGAAGGGUGAGAAUCCCUUCCACCGAAUAUCUAAGGUUUCCUGAGGAAGGCUCGUCCGCUCAGGGUUAGUCGGGACCUAAGC
rnacentral:rRNA from 1 species